rnacentral:sRNA from 1 species
AUUAAAACGGGAGAUUAGCAAAACUACCCUUUUUUUACUACUCUUUUGCAACAAUACCUUUUUAUGUCGUUCAUUUUUAAAAAUACACCUUCCCUUGAACAGAAUGAUCAAAUUACCCUCAUCUAAUAAGAACAUGUAAUUGGAAACUGAAAGUUUCGGCGCCAAAAUUUAUUUUUCCUGCCAAAAAAAUUUUCCGCAAAACUUUUUUUCCCGUCAAAAAACAUUUCCCGCCAAAAAAAAA